CCGUCCAUCCAUCCAUCCACCCUGAAGAGCUUCCCAGGCUAUGUCCAGAAUAGUGUAAAAGAGGACGGCUCCCACACCUUUGCCAGGAUGAGCUAUGAUCAGACCCCUGCCGUGAGCCUUCUCUCCCCUCUUCCUUUGACUGUUCAUGGGUUUACGGGCCAAGCGCGGUCUCUGCUGGUCUGUUGAGGCAGCUCUUCAUUUCCCACCGGCGUCUGUGUUUCCCACGUUGAUGGCGGGGGGACUCCAUCCAUGGUGCAGACAUUUUGUCAGUUGUCAUCUGCGUCCUGACCUUGUCUAUGGUACCCUGUGGUUGAGGAUGUCCUGCUCGUUUACAAAGAUUUACAAAUGUG